AACGCUAUGUUACGGCGCCCAAAUGUUAAUACGACUCAUGUCAGAUACCAUGAAAGGUGUUGGUUGUUUAAGACAGCAGGACGGUGGACAUGGAAGUUGUAAACCGCUAAG
rnacentral:ncRNA from 1 species